UACAUCUUGGUGUAUGGUGCACGUUAGCUUUUGAUGCUCGGUGGUGACGGUUCAAUCCCGUCUGGUGUAA
rnacentral:tRNA from 1 species